AUCACAGCCUGCAACCAUGCAUCUUCUGCCUAAAGGCAAGAAAUGCUGUCGGGCGAAGCAAACUACAAUAGGGGAUGGAAUUGUCAGUCAAGCUGAUCUGGAUAUCCACAAAUCUCUAUAGAUAAAAGUCAAGGUCCGUCUGUCUGUACCACAAAGGCUGUUACUUGGUGAUGUGGUCCUCUAUGAUGUCACUGGGAAAGAAAGGUGACGUGUAUGAGAGAAAAUGAGGUAGGAAGGUGUCACAAAGAGAGGUGUGUUGUCAUGGAGACAUUGUGAGGCCAGCCCUCUUAGAAAAGUAAGUAAGUAAGUAAGUAAGUAACUUUAUUUUUCUAUCCCGCCACCAUCUCCCGGCUGGGACUCGGGGCGGCUAACAAGGGACAACAGCCCAAAAAUACAAACAGUAAGCGGCACUCCGCUGCAGGACCUGGCAGGUGUGCGAACUCUGGGCCUGCACACCACAGGAGAGGGCAGAGCCCCACGUCAAUGAAGACACAGCAGUCCCAGCAAGCAAAGCAGCACAGAGCCCCAUCAAGGCCACUGUCAAAUGCGAUGGAAGGCAAACCACAGCAAGCCACCAGCGAUUGUGGCAUAUCCCAGCCCUACACCAAGGAUUCCACUGUGGGUCUGCCCCUAGUUCCCAGCUUGAAGAGGUCCGAUGGAAUAGGCCAGCUGAUGAUGAAGAGACCUCAGCAGUGACGCAAGGUAGAUUUCCCUAUUGAGGGAAAUGGCAAUGAGAAAUGGCGGCAGAACUGGAUGAUGUGGCUCUCCCCAAGUUCUACUCCUUCUUCUGGUAUCUGUCUGAAGAGAAGCAUGAUCAAGCUGAGAAGCUCUUAACCUUCCAAAAUUGCCGUGGGGUAGAGUUGUCCUGCAGGAUAUCAAAAACCCAGAGCAGGAUGAAUAGAAGAAUGGAGCUGCUGCCAUGGAGGUUGUCCUCAACCUGGAGAUGAGUGUGAACCAAGCUGGAUUUGUAUCAAGUGGCUUCCCAUCAUAUUGACCUCCAUCUGUACGACUUCCUGGAAAUCCACCACUUCGACAAGGAGAUGAAGGUGAUCAAGUAGAUGGGAGACCAUAUGACCAAGGAAUUGAUUACGGGCCCCAUAGAACACAAAGCGGAAGACUGUAUGUAGCCCACAGGUACAUCCUGUUCUGAAAUCCAACUGCAAGAAUUUCUGGAGCUGAACAACUCUUACCAUUUUCUGUACAGAAAAGAAACCCACAAACUCGGCAUGCAUAUUAUAUGUGGAGAGGUGAGCUUUUGUACCAGGAGAGCCCUUACCAUUACAGAAGGAAACGAAGGAAACGGGGAAAACGAAUUCCAUGCACAACCCUAUUGAGCACCACCAAAGAAUAUACAACUGCAAUGCUAGAAUCCUAUUGGGAGACCUAUUGAAUCUAUUAUUGAAUUGUGAGUCAAGGCUUAUGACCAUCCUAAUGGUUUAGUGGGUUUAUUCUUGUUGGAAAUAUCAAUAGAAUUCGGCUGGAUGAUUUUGUGUAGAAAACAGUG